UACGGGGGGGGCAAGCGUUGUUCGGAAUUACUGGGCGUAAAGGGCUCGUAGGCGGCCAACUAAGUCAGACGUGAAAUCCCUCGGCUUAACCGGGGAACUGCCUCUGAUACUGGAUGGCUUGAGUUUGGGAGAGGGACGCGGAAUUCCAGGUGUAGCGGUGAAAUGCGUAGAUAUCUGGAGGAACACCGGUGGCGAAGGCGGCGUCCUGGACCAAUACUGACACUGAUGAGCGAAAGCCAGGGGAGCAAACGGG
rnacentral:rRNA from 1 species